AUUGAACGCUGGCGGCAGGCCUAACACAUGCAAGUCGAACGAGUGGCGGACGGGUGAGUAAUGUCUGGGAAACUGCACGAUGGAGGGGGAUAACUACUGGAAACGGUAGCUAAUACCGCAAACAAUCAGUAGUGCCCAGAUGGGAUUAGCUGGUUGGGGGGGUCACGGCUAACCAAGGCGACGAUCCCUAGCUGGUCUGAGAGGAUGACCGGCCACACUGGAACUGAGACACGGUCCAGACUCCUACGGGAGGCAGCAGGGGGGAAUAUUUCACAAUGGGCGCAAGCCUGAUGCAGCCAUGCCGCGUGUAUGAAGAAGGCCUUCGGGUUGUAAAGUACUUUCAGCGGGGAGGCGUUACCCGCAGAGGAAGCACCGGCUAACUCCGUGCCAGCAGCCGCGGUAAUUC
rnacentral:rRNA from 1 species